ensembl:lncRNA
UGGACCGAGAGGUGAGGGGAAAGACUCAGGAGGCCUCUGGAGAGGGAAAGGGAAGGUUGCGGAGGAAGGAAGUGUGUACUUGGGGCCAGCCCUGCCUCUGGCAGCAGCCCCACUGGGCCAGGGUCCCAGGGAUUUAUUGACUAAUCCUCAAAUGAUACACUCUCCCUGAUUUACUCUCUCUCUGCUUGCACUCUCACAAGAUCCUAUUGUCUCCAGACACCGCUGGCCCAGGGCCUCCACCUCGGGGGGCCUCGGCCUCUCAUCCACUUCCGGGAGGAAUGAAGGUUCCCAGCCUCCAGGCACCAAGACCCUCCCCUGCCCUCUAACGGCUGCCCUAAGGGUCAAGCUGCCAGGCCACCAGAGAGUGCCAGGUAGGCUGGCAGCUCCUCAUCAACCAGGGUGACCGCCGAGAGCUGCUGACGUUGGUGCCAGCGGCGAUGCCAUUGCUCCAGGGAGUCUGACCCGGAAUUUGCUCUGCGGAGGCUGCCCGCGGCUCUCCGGCGGGACUGCGUGGUGGCGCACUGGGGCAGGGAGCCCGGGGCUCUCCACCGCGCCCGGCACCCGCUCGCCCAGCCGGGGCCGCGGGGCUGCGCGCUGCUGGCCUCCGGGCAGAACCUGCCAUUCCCCCCGCAGCAAGGCCCGACGUGAGGGGGGUGGUGGCGGUGGGGGCGCCUCCUUCCUGAGUGAAACCUACGGAAUCCGGCAGGAAUUCGGGCCUCCCAGAUUUAAGAAAACAAACAAAGGAAAGAUUGUCAGAGAGGGGCCGCCAAGAGCUGCCCGGCCGCCGCACUGCCCUCCGCGCUCACCCCCGGGCAGCCCGGGCCUCCUGGCGGGGGCGGAACACAAGGCCGGGGUGGGGGGCGGGGGUCCCCCCGGGUGGUCCCCGUGGGCUUCCCUGCCUGGGGCUUUGGAUAACCUGUCACUCCGUCUCGGGACAGAGGAGGCCCCAGGGCGCUUGGGAAAGCAGGCUGUCGCCGGAGUGGCUGCCUGGGGAGAUAAGGUCCCCCGCAGGAGUCAUUUGAGGGCCUCCCUCUGCCUCUAGGCAAACCCCAAAGAGUCCCGCGUCCAGGGCGAAUCCCUGUGUCCAAGCCAAGGCUUGGGGGUGAAAUUUCCAGGCUUCACUGUCCCUUGGGGACGAGGGCGCCUCCUCCGUGCCGUCGCCGAGCCAGGCUAGGCCUAGGUCCACCGUGGGCAGGCUCAGUCCCCGUCUUUGCCCGGGUCUAGGGAGAACUAUCAAAAGUGAUAAAGUGGGGAGGAGGGGCUAUGAAACAAAAGGCGAGGACCCCCGGGGCGCGGCAGCGACCCGAGUUCUCGCGGUCGCGCCCACGUGCGUCUCCUUCUCCUGAUCUUUGGGGCUCUCCACUGGGCGCUCCCUGCCUGUUCCUCUCCAGCUCCGCGCGUCUCUCUCCCCCUGUCUGGCUCUGGCUCUUCAAUCUGAACACAGCUCAGUGCUUUGAUUCUCUUUGUCUCGGUAUCUCUGUUCGGGAACGUCUCUGUCCCUUCCUGUUGGCCAGUUCACGUGUCUCUCGGUCUCUGAUCUCAGUCUGAG